rnacentral:antisense_RNA from 1 species
UGUUAAUGGGAAGAAAUCUGUAUCCUUUGCUUGUUUUGUACCAACGGCUGCUGUUAAUACCACUGUAUCUCCAUAACGAACUAAGACAGCACCAUUUGCUUGUUUUGCUAAUUGGCCGAUUUCAACUUGUAACAGUCUUCCGCCCCAUUCAUAGCUAUAUACUUUUUUUUCUGACAUAUCGAUUCUCCUUUUCUUCUUUUUAAGAGUAUCUUUUAAACCUACUUUUAGAAAUAUAAACAGACGAAAAACUCACCUUCUUAUAUUUCUAAAGUAAGCA